rnacentral:rRNA from 1 species
AACGAACGCUGGCGGCAUGCCUAACACAUGCAAGUCGAACGAGACCUUCGGGUCUAGUGGCGCACGGGUGCGUAACGCGUGGGAACCUGCCCUUAGGUUCGGAAUAACUCCCCGAAAGGGGUGCUAAUACCGGAUAAUGUCUUCGGACCAAAGAUUUAUCGCCUUUGGAUGGGCCCGCGUUGGAUUAGAUAGUUGGUAGGGUAAAAGCCUACCAAGGCGACGAUCCAUAGCUGGUCUGAGAGGAUGAUCAGCCACACUGGGACUGAGACACGGCCCAGACUCCUACGGGAGGCAGCAGUGGGGAAUAUUGGACAAUGGGCGAAAGCCUGAUCCAGCAAGGCCGCGUGAGUGAUGAAGGCCGUAGGGUUGUAAAGCGCUGUUACCCGGGAUGAUAAUGACAGUACCGGGAGAAUAAGCGCCGGCUAACUCCGUG